rnacentral:rRNA from 1 species
UACAGAGGUGGCAAGCGUUGUUCGGAAUUACUGGGCGUAAAGGGCGCGUAGGCGGUCCCGUAAGUCCCGCGUGAAAGCCCCCGGCUCAACUGGGGAACGGCGCGGGAGACUGCAGGACUUGAGUUCGGGAGAGGGAAGCGGAAUUCCGGGUGUAGCGGUGAAAUGCGUAGAUAUCCGGAGGAACACCGGUGGCGAAGGCGGCUUCCUGGACCGACACUGACGCUGAGGCGCGAAAGCUAGGGGAGCAAACGGG